UACAGAGGUCCCAAGCGUUGUUCGGAUUCACUGGGCGUAAAGGGUGCGUAGGUGGUGAGGUAAGUCGGAUGUGAAAGCUCGGAGCUCAACUCCGAAAUGGCAUUGGAAACUACCUUGCUCGAGGGUUGGAGGGGGGACUGGAAUGCUUGGUGUAGCAGUGAAAUGCGUAGAGAUCGUAAGGAAGACCAGUGGCGAAGGCGGGUCUCUGGACAGUUCCUGACACUGAGGCACGAAGGCCAGGGGAGCAAACGGG
rnacentral:rRNA from 1 species